AUUGAACGCUGGCGGCAGGCCUAACACAUGCAAGUCGAGCGGAUGAAGGGAGCUUGCUCCUGGAUUCAGCGGCGGACGGGUGAGUAAUGCCUAGGAAUCUGCCUGGUAGUGGGGGAUAACGUCCGGAAACGGGCGCUAAUACCGCAUACGUCCUGAGGGAGAAAGUGGGGGAUCUUCGGACCUCACGCUAUCAGAUGAGCCUAGGUCGGAUUAGCUAGUUGGUGGGGUAAAGGCCUACCAAGGCGACGAUCCGUAACUGGUCUGAGAGGAUGAUCAGUCACACUGGAACUGAGACACGGUCCAGACUCCUACGGGAGGCAGCAGUGGGGAAUAUUGGACAAUGGGCGAAAGCCUGAUCCAGCCAUGCCGCGUGUGUGAAGAAGGUCUUCGGAUUGUAAAGCACUUUAAGUUGGGAGGAAGAGCAGUAAGUUAAUACCUUGCUGUUUUGACGUUACCAAAAGAAUAAGCACCGGCUAACUUCGUG
rnacentral:rRNA from 1 species